UUGAAAUCUGGCCCCCAGGGUCCGAGUUGUAAUUUGCAGAGGAUGCUUUUGGCAAGGUGCCUUCCGAGUUCCCUGGAACGGGACGCCAUAGAGGGUGAGAGCCCCGUCUGGUUGGAUACCGAGCCUCUGUAAAGCUCCUUCGACGAGUCGAGUAGUUUGGGAAUGCUGCUCUAAAUGGGAGGUAUAUGUCUUCUAAAGCUAAAUAUUGGCCAGAGACCGAUAGCGCACAAGUAGAGUGAUCGAAAGAUGAAAAGCACUUUGAAAAGAGGGUUAAAUAGUACGUGAAAUUGUUGAAAGGGAAGCGCUCAUGACCAGACUUGGGCCCGGUGAAUCAUCCAGCGCUCGUCGCUGGUGCACUUUGCCGGGCUCAGGCCAGCAUCAGUUCGCUCCGGGGGACAAAGGCUCUGGGAAUGUGGCUCCUCCGGGAGUGUUAUAGCCCACUGCGCAAUACCCUGGGGCGGACUGAGGUUCGCGCAUUCGUGCAAGGAUGCUGGCGUAAUGGUCAUCAGUGACCCGUCUUGAAACACGGACCAAGGAGUCGUCUUCGUAUGCAAGUGUUCGGGUGUAAAACCCCUACGCGUAAUGAAAGUGAACGCAGGUGAGAGCUUCGGCGCAUCAUCGACCGAUCCUGAUGUUCUCGGAUGGAUUUGAGUAAGAGCAUACGGGGCCGGACCCGAAAGAAGGUGAACUAUGCCUGUAUAGGGUGAAGCCAGAGGAAACUCUGGUGGAGGCUCGCAGCGGUUCUGACGUGCAAAUCGAUCGUCAAAUAUGGGCAUGGGGGC
rnacentral:rRNA from 1 species